rnacentral:rRNA from 1 species
AUUGAACGCUGGCGGCAGGCUUAACACAUGCAAGUCGAGCGGGGUGAUGGUGCUUGCACUAUCACUUAGCGGCGGACGGGUGAGUAAUGCUUAGGAAUCUGCCUAUUAGUGGGGGACAACAUCACGAAAGGGAUGCUAAUACCGCAUCCGUCCUACGGGAGAAAGCAGGGGAUCACUUGUGAACUUUCGCUAAUAGAUGAGCCUCAGCCGGAUUAGCUAGUUGGUGGGGUAAAGGCCUACCAAGGCGACGAUCUGUAGCGGGUCUCGAGAGGAUGAUCCGCCACACUGGGACUGAGACACGGCCCAGACUCCUACGGGAGGCAGCAGUGGGGAAUAUUGGACAAUGGGGGGAACCCUGAUCCAGCCAUGCCGCGUGUGUGAAGAAGGCCUUAUGGUUGUAAAGCACCUUAAGCGAGGAGGAGGCUCUUUUGGUUAAUACCCAAGAUGAGUGGACGUUACUCGCAGAAUAAGCACCGGCUAACUCUGUGCCAGCCGCCGCCGUAA